UUUUACUAUGGGGUACGGACUGACUCCGGGCGCCCAACCUCCCACCCGUGAAUACCUAACACUGUUGCUUCGGCGGGGAACCCCCUCGGGGGCGAGCCGCCGGGGACUACUGAACUUCAUGCCUGAGAGUGAUGCAGUCUGAGUCUGAAUAUAAAAUCAGUCAAAACUUUCAACAAUGGAUCUCUUGGUUCCGGCAUCGAUGAAGAACGCAGCGAACUGCGAUAAGUAAUGUGAAUUGCAGAAUUCAGUGAAUCAUCGAGUCUUUGAACGCACAUUGCGCCCCCUGGCAUUCCGGGGGGCAUGCCUGUCCGAGCGUCAUUGCUGCCCAUCAAGCCCGGCUUGUGUGUUGGGUCGUCGUCCCCCCCGGGGGACGGGCCCGAAAGGCAGCGGCGGCACCGUGUCCGGUCCUCGAGCGUAUGGGGCUUUGUCACCCGCUCGACUAGGGCCGGCCGGGCGCCAGCCGACGUCUCCAACCAUUUUUCUUCAGGUUGACCUCGGAUCAGGUAGGGAUACCCGCUGAACUUAAGCAUAUCAAAAGCCGGAGGAACCCGAAUACGAUGAAAUUACGAUGUAAGGACAUUCAAUCCAACUGGGGCUGGGUCACGAGCCCCCGUUCAACCCAACCGGGAGCCUUACCAGUAAAUGUCGUCAUUGAUCCAACACAAUAAAUAACCAAGUAAUAGUCAUAAAAA
rnacentral:rRNA from 1 species